rnacentral:lncRNA from 1 species
GCUAUACUCAUUGCUCUUGAGGGGAUCACUGCUUCCAGAUCUUCUCAGUGAAACAUAGGCAUGUAUAUGUGUGGAUAUAUAUAUGUGUGCGUGUGCCUGUGUGUGUGUGUCGUGUGUACAUCUAUAUUCUAUUCCUAUCUACGUGUUUACGUGUUUAGAUCACAUACUUAUUUAUCGACCUCUUCCAGGUUAGCAGUGUCUUAGCUAGAUGGCUUUUGAGUUUCAGAGAGCAGUGGAAUGUGAAAGCUCUGUGAAAGCAUCCCCUCUAACCUCUUUACUUUGCAGAUGGGGGUUGAGACCCAGAGCUGGGGAGCGGGGAGACUCGGGUCUCAGGUCUGGGACUCCCAGCAGCCUGUCUGGGAAGAGGACGCAGAACGCCAGGCGGACUCAGCUCCAAGCAGAUGCUGGUUGUGCUCGGAUAGAUGGAGCUUGUCUUCCGGGAGAGGAGUGGGCUCACCUGGGAGGACCCCAAAGGCGGAACAGAACACUGUGAGAAAGCAGGUACCUGCUUGCAGUGAGGAAGGACUUUGUUCGCCAUCAGCUGGUCACACUGGGGACAGGUGGCCGGCGGUGGGGACUUGCUCGCUCACUGACCGCCCGUGUGUGCUGCCCCAGGGCUCAUCUGGCCAGGGUUGGUGGAGGCCCUGGCUCCUCUCCAGCUGUGUCCCCGUGAUCCGCCCGCCGUGUUCCAGUAAGCCAUCGUGGGAGACGUUCUUCCUGUCCUAAGGGCCUGGUUUCCUGGCUCGGUUCUUCUAAAGUUCUCCUCCACUCCACGGUCCACCAGGGGCCAACUCACUCCCCCGAACCCUGAACACCCCAGCCCUGGGACCCACUGGAGCCUCCCCUCCCCCUAGAUUACCUCUUCUCCACCCACUGACCCUGUAAGGGAGACUCUCCUGCACCCUGGGCUAUUGUCCAGUUCAGAGGCACGGCCACGGUCAGCCUUAGGGCUGAGCGGGAGCUUGGGGCCGGCUCACCCCUCAGGCCGCAGAAGUUCAAGGUCAGCACCAGCAAGCUCUCGCCCUGCCUUCUGCAGUUAGAUAUGCCCCCUCUGCCCGGGUCACCCAGACUCUUCUGGGGUUCAGCCUCCCCCUACCCCUUGGAUUCACUGACUUCACUUCCGGCCCUUUUGAGUCCAUGUCUAGAAUUGCAGACGGGUCAUCUGAGACCCUGUGAUCCUGACAUCCCCCUGGGGUCUCCCCUUGGAUUCUUUUCCCAUCACGGUGCUGGUGGCCUUUGGCCAGAAAUACAAAGCGACCAAGAGGUGGUGCUGCUGGGUCAGGCUCACCCCUAAAUGCAACUUAAGCUCCGAGAAGGGACUGAAUGUGGGGCGAAAGGGAGGGGUGGGGACUGGGCACUACGGGCUGUGUGGGCCACCUAAAAGCAUUCUGAGUGUGUGUGCACGUGUGUACCAGUAAACCCACACAUAUGUGUACACACACACGUACAUCAUAAUACCGGGAAAUAGGUCUUCACACACACACACACAAACAUACCAGUAUAUACAUGCAAACAUACCAAUAUGUAUAUAUAUAUAUACCAGUAUGAAUAGAUGUAUAUGCACAUAUGCUUACUAGUAUACACACACAUAUACCCGCAUGCGGAAAGGUGAAGAACCAGUAUACAGCUCUAAAAUGCACACAUACACACACACACUUACCCAUGUAUGUGUGUUGGUGUGUGUGCAUACAUGUGUGUAAAUCCUCACUGACAUGUACAUGUAUGUAUUUGUGCACGCUCUGGUAUGUGCAUAUGUGUGCGUAUGUAUGUACACACCGGCAAAGAGGCACUGCCGGUUUGUGGCUCUGACUUCCGGCCCGUGAGGCUCCGAGAGGGCCACAGCUUCUCCCUGGAUCCUGCAGGCCAUUGGUCACAUCUGCACACACCUUCAGAGAACGUUGCCCCAGGUUUCCAGGGUCCGGAAAUCUCCCUGAACGAAGAAAGAAGCGGGUGUGACUUGAGUGAGCAUUUUCUUUCUGGGGUUAAGAUGGGAAAGUGGUCAAGGGCGGCCUAACAGAAACACGGACGCGGGAGGGACGUCAGAGAACGCCUGUCCGAUGCCCGUAUUAUGUUCCAGACAGAGGCUAUGUUGGUUUGCUAGGCGUCUGUAACAAAGUACACAGACCGAAAAAAGAAAACAAAAAACAAAGUACGCAGACUGGGUGGCUGGAAACACCAGAAAUUUGUUCUCCCAUGGUUCUGGAGGUGAGAAGUCUGAAUGUGGGCAGGGUGGGUUCCUCCUGAGGGCCGGGAGGGGGUGGUCUGCUCCGUGCCUGUGUCCGGGCUUCUGGUGGUUUUCUGGCAAACCUUGGCGUUCCGUGGCUUGUAGACACAUCGCUCCAGUCUGCACCUGCGUCGUCAGAUGGCGUGUCCCCCGUGCACGUGUCUUUGUCUCUUCUCUUCGAUUUAUGGGACAACAGUCAUAGAGGAUUCAGGGCCACUCUACGUCAGUGCGACCUUGUCUUAAUUCCAUCUGCAGCAACCCUAUUUCCAAAUAAGAUCGAUUCUGAAGUCCUGGGGGUGAGGACAUCGACAUAUCUUCAUUAGGGGACACAGUACAGACUGUAACAGAGGGAACACGACUUGAUCGACGCUCACAGCGUAUCCAUUGAUCAGUUCAUACGGCUCUGCCUCUGAUGCCUGAUUAAUACAAAAUUAACUUUCUGCUUCCUGAAAUUCUAGGAACUUCUGGCUCGUCGGCAGGUCCUACACACCUGUGGUUCGGACAAAAUGAGAUUUGCUUGGUGGAUAAAAAGAGAGAUCAGCUCGGGGCCCCUGGGUGGCUCAGUCAGUUAAGCG